GACGAACCGUGCGAACGUUGUUCGGAAUCACUGGGCUUAAAGGGCGCGUAGGUGGUCUGUCAAGUCGGGGGUGAAAUCUUUCGGCUCAACCGGAAAACUGCCUUCGAUACUGACAGGCUGGAGGGAGGUAGGGGUUGCGGGAACUACCAGUGGAGCGGUGAAAUGCGUUGAUAUUGGUAGGAACGCCGGUGGCGAAAGCGCGCAACUGGACCUUUUCUGACACUGAGGCGCGAAAGCUAGGGGAGCAAACGGGAUUAGAUACCCCGGUAGUCCUAGCCUUAAACGAUGAGGACUAGGUUGUGGACUAGACAUGGGUUCACAGCCGAAGCAAAAGUGCUAAGUCCUCCGCCUGGGGAGUAUGGUCGCAAGGCUGAA
rnacentral:rRNA from 1 species